GUUCUUGCACCGUGUGUACCAUUCACCAACUUCCUGCCCUGUCAGCUGUUCCCUGGAAAAAAGAUUAUAGUUCGCGGAGUUCCCAAAUGUUCGGCUUUAGAGUUCAACUUUGUUCUCCUGUGUGGGCCCUCCAUCGACUACAGCGAGAUAGCCUUGACCGUGGACGCCAUCUUUGACGGGCCCCCAUGCGGAGGCGGGGGGUGCGGCAGAAGCUCCCUGGUGGUGGCCCACAGGGCGCGCUGUGGGUGGUCGGAGGACCAGGUGCUCUCCUGUUACUUCCCCUUCUCCAGGAACGUGCCGUUUGAGUUGGUCAUUGUGGUGGAGUGUGGUGGAUUCAAGAUUAUCGUCAACAACCAACUCUACUCCACCUACAGACACCAGUUCCCGCUACAUCUCGUCUCUCACUACGCUGUUCUCGGUGACGUCGUCAUCAACGAGAUCGUCUUUCUAUAAACAUUCACCUGACACACGGAUUUAUUUCAGGACUUCUCCAUACACCCAUUCUAGUGGUGUUCUCACAUCAAAUAGUUAUAUCACCUGACACACAGAUUUACUUCAUGACUUCAACUUCUCCAUACACCCUUCCUAGUGGUGUCCUCACAUUUAAUACUUACAAUAGCAUAGUCCACCCCAUCUUUUUAGUGAGCAUCUACAAUAAACAUUUAGUAGA